UAGCCGGCUCAGCAAGUCUCCCGUUAAAUUCAGCGACCUAAUCGUUGNGCCGCGGGAGAUACUNCUAAGCUAGGAGGCGGGAGAGGUCGACGGUACUCCUGGGGUAGGGGUGAAAUCCUAUAAUCCCAGGAGGACCACCAGUGGCGAAGGCUGUUGACUAGAACGCGCUCGACGGUGAGGGACGAAAGCUGGGGGAGCGAACCGGAUUAGAUACCCGGGUAGUCCCAGCCGUAAACGAUGCGGGCUAGGUGUUGGGGUGGCUACGUGCCACCUCAGUGCCGCAGGGAAGCCGUUAAGCCCGCC
rnacentral:rRNA from 1 species